AACGGGGAUGUUAGCUUGCUAAUAUCUGCCGGCGACCGGCGCACGGGUGAGUAACGCGUAUGCGACCUGCCCGUCACAGGGGGAUAAUCCGGAGAAAUCCGGUCUAAUACCGCAUAAUAUCGUGAAUCUGCAUGGAUUUGCGAUUAAAGGAGCGAUCCGGUGACGGAUGGGCAUGCGUGACAUUAGCUAGUCGGCGGGGUAACGGCCCACCGAGGCGACGAUGUCUAGGGGUUCUGAGAGGAAGGUCCCCCACACUGGUACUGAGACACGGACCAGACUCCUACGGGAGGCAGCAGUGAGGAAUAUUGGUCAAUGGGCUUACGCCUGAACCAACCAAGUCGCGUGAGGGAAGACUGCCCUAUGGGUUGUAAACCUCUUUUGUCAGGGAGCAACGCCGGCUACGUGUAGCCGGACUGAGAGUACCUGAAGAAAAAGCAUCGGCUAACUCCGUGCCAGCAGCCGCGGUAAUACGGAGGAUGCGAGCGUUAUCCGGAUUUAUUGGGUUUAAAGGGUGCGUAGGCGGAAUGCCAAGUCAGCGGUAAAAUCGCGGGGCUCAACCUCGCUCCGCCGUUGAAACUGGCGUUCUUGAGUGGGCGAGAAGUAUGCGGAGUGCGUGGUGUAGCGGUGAAAUGCAUAGAUAUCACGCAGAACUCCGAUUGCGAAGGCAGCAUACCGGCGCCCAACUGACGCUGAAGCACGAAAGCGUGGGUAUCGAACA
rnacentral:rRNA from 1 species